rnacentral:rRNA from 1 species
UUGGUGGGGGAUGUGCUCGCGGCCUAUCAGCUUGUUGGUGGGGUAAUGGCCUACCAAGGCUUCGACGGGUAGCCGGCCUGAGAGGGUGACCGGCCACACUGGGACUGAGACACGGCCCAG